AUAUGUAAACCCUAAGGACCUAAUCGUAAAUAUAAUAAAUAUAAGGACUAAACUGCAAAAUGCACAAAAUGACAAAUUCCACCAUUUAAGCCUCUCUGCCUUCGUUCUUAAGGAAGCAGAGAAGGCAGCUGCGUGGAUGAUAAGGGAAAGAAAGAAAGAAAGAAGAAGAAGAAGAAGAAGAAAAGAAGAAGAAGAAAAGAAGAAGAAGAAAAAAUUGGGGCUUUAAGGUUUCUUGCUCAAAUCUUCUCAUUUAGGGUCAAAAUUCUCAAAGGAUAGCCUGUCGCUCGCUUAAAUGAUUAAGAUUGGGCUGAGGUAGUGGAGAGCUAAAAGACUUUGGGCAGAUCUUUAAUAGUAUAUAUGUUUUUGUUGUAUAAGUACACUCUGCAUCUAAUGAAAUGUUGACGAUGAAUCAAACCUUGUGGAUUUUGUAUAAGUUUAAAAGACUCCUUUUUAUGUCUAGGAUUUUGGAAUGUUAAGUUUAAUUCGUGUAAUGAUAUGAACUUAUGGUAAAUGUUGGUUUUGUGACUGUAUAGACUCCCAUACUGGUUAAUUUAUGUUGUGGUUAUUAUUUUGA